GAUGAGUGUUCGGAGAGAGCCAUUGCAUGCCCCGGACUCAAUGAAGCUUGCAUCAACGAGGAGGGCUCGUUCCGCUGCGAGUGUGCCGAGGGCUUCAUCCGACGGGACAGCAUUUGUGUGGAGAAUCUGCCACCAACGGGGCCGGAGAAGGGCUUGUUCGACGACAUGACGGAUGACGAGGUGCUCGUGCUCCAGCAGAUGUUCUUCGGCGUGGUGAUCUGUGCUCUCGCCACUCUGGCUGCUAAAGGAGACAUGGUUUUCACGGCCAUCUUCAUCGGCGGAGUGGCUGCCAUGGCAGGAUACUGGCUGUCGGAGAAGGGCGACCGCGUGCUGGACGGCUUUCUUAAAGGACGCUAACCAGCCGGACGCUGAUGACUCUGAAACGGUUUGGUGAGCGCCGCGGCGGCUCUGAGAGCGAUGCUAGCACCGGGCUGGAGGGGCGAGACCAGCGCUCUGUGGAUGAUGAUGAUAACACUGUGUUUCAACAGUUCAACUGCUGCUGUAUUUAAGAGACUCCCGGUUAGUGGUGGUUAUGUUUGGGCAAACCCCAAGAGACGUACUGUAUGCAACCCAUUCAGGUAGAGCUACUGUACAUACUGACAUUCCCACUACCCACUUAUUUACGCACAUUUAUACAUCGAUACCGUUUUCCUAUUUAAAAUCCGUCCCAAUUGCAUGAAUGCAGCACAGUCACAGAAGAUGUCCAGUGUGUUCUCUCUCAAACCAGGACUCUGUGUGUGUGUGUGUGUGUGAGAGAGAGAGUACUUUCAACAGGGUUCCCACACUGAAUUUACAUCGACACUAAGAUUAAAAACCCUCUCUUUGUUUUAGAGCAGAUUCUUGAAACGAUCAUGAGGAAUCAGCGUGUCUUUCAAGCUUUACUCUUCACAAUGCAAUAUCUCCUGUGCACAACUAAAUGUGUCGAGCUAAUCAUUGAUACGUCACCCACUUUUUGUUAAAUAUCACAAGCAGGAAAACCCUGAAACCGUAAUUUUACCGCUAGCUGAUUGUCUCUGGCUGUGGGGACCCCGUUUUAAAUAUGCAAUGUUAGAAUACGGUAAUGAAUGUGACUUCCAGUUUAGCUGAGUGUACUGUACCUGCAGAUUUCAGCACUUGUGGCCUUCCAGUCAUUCGUUUGACAGAUGUUUUUAGUUCCAGCACAGCCGGUGUUCGUGCACUGAUCGUAUCUGCAUGCUUUAACUUCUGCUUUAGAAGAAAAUGUGGAAAUAUUUCAUCACCGAUUCUGUUUGUCUUGUCAUAUUUAUUUAUUUUUUGUCCAAUACGAUUGACAGCCGAGAUGUGGGCAUGACUUCUGCCAGCCUUAAUGUGAAUUGUUUUGAUUCGUUUCAUCACGGGGUGGAAGACAUCGACUUUCCUUUACUCGUGCAUACCUAGCAGAACUCUACGAUAGAAAUCAUUUGAAACUCUUUUACGGGCACGCUCUUCAGCAUUAUGAACGUUUCGUCUCGCUUUUUGAAGUUUACGUGGAAUCAGAAUUGUGAUAGACUCAUCAGCGCAUGCUAUUCAAAGAAGGUUUUCAUUAAAAUGUAACGAGCUCUGAAGCAGCUUACCAACGGGUGUCACCAAAGACUUGUUUCUAAACUCUACCUCGCACCUCUUUCAUAUUCAGUCAGUUCCAGACUGAUGAAACGAUGUCCUCUUUACGUGUCUGCCCUCAAUAAACGCUCUGUUGUUCCUCAGAAAAUAUGUUA